rnacentral:lncRNA from 1 species
UUCCAUUAGAUUGAAUCCUACUAAUAAUAAAAGAAAGAUCACCUUAGUCAAAAAGAUGAUCUAAGUGCUAGGAUGGCCAAUUUAACUAGAAAGGUUGAAGCCAUGGUGUAACAGUCCGUUUUUAGUGGUGUCGAAAAUAGUGAUUUUGGGACCACAAUUCUGACGAGUAAAUUAUUAUUUUAUUAUUUAUUUAAUGCAUAUGAGAUUAUAUUAAGGUCGUGUAAAAGUUUCGUUAAGAAAUUUUGUAGUUUAAAUAGUUAUUUAGAUGAAAAGAACUAAAUCGUAAAAAAAUGUAAAAGUUGAAUUCUAUUAGUUAAAAGGGAUAAAUGGCUAUGGAAAGGAAAGCUAAUGGAAUAAGAUAGUAAUUAUACCAUUUUAAGAGUUAGUGGAUAGUUAUGGACAAUGUUUUAUUGAAAAUUUUGAUUAGUAAUAAGGGUAAAAUGGUAAAAUAGUAAAUAAGCAUAAAAUUAGAUAAGCUAAAAAUCAUCAUCUUUUUCAUUUUGUUUUCUUCAAAACUGAUUCUUCAUGGAAGCUUAGCUAGAUUUUUAUUCAAGCUUUAUUUCUCCCUUGAAUGGUAUGUAUUCAAGCCCCGUUUUUAAUGAUUUUUAUGUUUUUGAGUUCGUUUUAGCUUAAUCUAGCUAGCCCGGGAGUUAAUUUGUAAAAUUAUUAAAUAUUUAAGGAAUUUAUAUGGAUGUUUUUGAAGGCUUUUUGAAGUUAUUUAAUGGAUUAGUAAUCUUGGUUGUUAAAUAAACAUGUUUUGUUAAAUGAUUUUGAUGAAUUUUGAAAUAAUAUAUUAAAUUGUUAAAAGUAUAAAACCAUGGGUUUGGUUGUGAAAUGUUGGUAAUAAUGGGCUGUUUCAAGGUCCCUUGUAACAUUGGUUAAAUUGGAUUUUGGUUAAAAUGGUUAAAUUUCAAGUUAUGAGCUUAAGGACUAAAUUGCGAAAAGUUAAUAUGUUAGGG